AUUGAACGCUGGCGGCAGGCCUAACACAUGCAAGUCGAACGAGUGGCGGACGGGUGAGUAAUGUCUGGGAAACUGCCCGAUGGAGGGGGAUAACUACUGGAAACGGUAGCUAAUACCGCAUACCAUCGGAUGUGCCAAGAUGGGAUUAGCUUGUAGGUGGGGUAACGGCUCACCUAGGCGACGAUCCCUAGCUGGUCUAAGAGGAUGACCAGCCACAUGGGAACUGAGACACGGUCCAGACUCCGACGGGAGGCAGCAGUGGGGAAUAUUGCACAAUGGGCGCAAGCCUGAUGCAGCCAUGCCGCGUGGAUUAAGAAGGCCUUCGGUUUGUAAAGUACGUGCAGCGGGGAGGCGUUACCCGCAGAAGAAGCACCGGCUAACUCCGUGCCAGCAGCCGCGGUAAUAC
rnacentral:rRNA from 1 species